rnacentral:rRNA from 1 species
UACGGGGGGAGCAAGCGUUGUUCGGAUUUACUGGGCGUAAAGGGCGCGUAGGCGGCCAGCACAAGUCAGUUGUGAAAUCUCCGAGCUUAACUCGGAACGGUCAACUGAUACUGUGCGGCUAGAGUGCGGAAGGGGCAACUGGAAUUCUUGGUGUAGCGGUGAAAUGCGUAGAUAUCAAGAGGAACACCUGCGGCGAAGGCGGGUAGCUGGGCCGACACUGACGCUGAUGCGCGAAAGCCAGGGGAGCGAACGGG